rnacentral:rRNA from 1 species
AGAGUUUGAUCAUGGCUCAGAUUGAACGCUGGCGGCAGGCCUAACACAUGCAAGUCGAACGGUAACAGGAAGCAGCUUGCUGCUUUGCUGACGAGUGGCGGACGGGUGAGUAAUGUCUGGGAAACUGCCUGAUGGAGGGGGAUAACUACUGGAAACGGUAGCUAAUACCGCAUAACGUCGCAAGACCAAAGAGGGGGACCUUCGGGCCUCUUGCCAUCGGAUGUGCCCAGAUGGGAUUAGCUAGUAGGUGGGGUAAAGGCUCACCUAGGCGACGAUCCCUAGCUGGUCUGAGAGGAUGACCAGCCACACUGGAACUGAGACACGGUCCAGACUCCUACGGGAGGCAGCAGUGGGGAAUAUUGCACAAUGGGCGCAAGCCUGAUGCAGCGACGCCGCGUGCGGGAUGACGGCCUUCGGGUUGUAAACCGCUUUUGACUGGGAGCAAGCCCUUCGGGGUGAGUGUACCUUUCGAAUAAGCACCGGCUAACUACGUGCCAGCAGCCGCGGUAAUACGUAGGGUGCAAGCGUUAUCCGGAAUUAUUGGGCGUAAAGGGCUCGUAGGCGGUUCGUCGCGUCCGGUGUGAAAGUCCAUCGCUUAACGGUGGAUCCGCGCCGGGUACGGGCGGGCUUGAGUGCGGUAGGGGAGACUGGAAUUCCCGGUGUAACGGUGGAAUGUGUAGAUAUCGGGAAGAACACCAAUGGCGAAGGCAGGUCUCUGGGCCGUCACUGACGCUGAGGAGCGAAAGCGUGGGGAGCGAACAGGAUUAGAUACCCUGGUAGUCCCAGCCGUAAACGAUGGACGCUAGGUGUGGGGGGACGAUCCCUCCGUGCCGCAGCCAACGCAUUAAGCGUCCCGCCUGGGGAGUACGGCCGCAAGGCUAAAACUCAAAGGAAUUGACGGGGGCCCGCACAAGCAGCGGAGCAUGUGGCUUAAUUCGAAGCAACGCGAAGAACCUUACCAGGGCUUGACAUGACCGUGAAGCCGGGGAGACCCGGUGGCCGAGAGGAGCGGUCACAGGUGGUGCAUGGCUGUCGUCAGCUCG